UACAGAGGUGGCAAGCGUUGUUCGGAAUUACUGGGCGUAAAGGGCGCGUAGGCGGCUCGACAAGUCCCGCGUGAAAGCCCCCGGCUCAACUGGGGAACUGCGCGGGAAACUGUCGGACUUGAGUUCGGGAGAGGGAAGCGGAAUUCCGGGUGUAGCGGUGAAAUGCGUAGAUAUCUGGAGGAACACCGGUGGCGAAGGCGGCAUCCUGGACCAACACUGACGCUGAGUGAGCGAAAGCCAGGGGAGCAAACGGG
rnacentral:rRNA from 1 species